UUUUUUUUCUUUCUUUUUUUUUUUUUUCUUUUCUAGGGCCACACCCAUGGCAUAUGGAGGUUCCCAGGCUAGGGAUCCGAGCUGCUUCUGCAACCUACACCACAGUUCACGGCAAUGCCAGAUCCUUAACACACUGAGCAAGGCCGGGGAUCGAACCCGCAACCUCAUGGUUCCUAGUCAGAUUCAUUAACCACUGAGCCACGACGGGAACUCCACUUUUUCUUUUAAUAAGAAAACUUUUUACAAGGUUUUAUUUCCUUUUAUGUAAAGUGAAGAUAAUAUUUGCUUACUGUGGUACAGAGGAUCAACUGAGAUUGUAUGCAUAAAUCAUUCUGAAAGCUGCUGGGACACAAAUGUUAUUCCCAGUUGUCAAAUCCUUUCACAGGUGCCUUCACCUCACAGAAUGACGAUUAUAGCCAUUUUCAGAGAGUGAUUUCCUGCUCAUUUUAAGCUCUAGGAAAUUGUGUCAUUGGAAAUAACAUGAAAAUGAAUGAAGUGGAACUUUAUACCUGGAAAUAUAGGUGCAUGCUAUGUCUACAUCAGCUGUUCUGAGUUCAUUGAAUAUUGUAAAUUCCCAUGCACUUGCUCUGUAGCUUAACUAUCGGGAUGAGUAAUAGUGGAAACAGGCUUAACAAACUACUUGGUUCUGUCAUAGUGACUGCAGUUGUAAGACCUCCAAUUAACUUGCUGUGAAACCCCAGAAAAUGGUUUUCAUUUCAGAUCUUCUCCAGAAUGUCUGUGCUAAAAAUGACAUGAUUAAUACCAGAUAGUAAAAAUUUUAAAUCCUGAAAGAGUAUUGAUGAAAAUCAAAUUUCUAACAUCCAUCUUUUUCAGUGUUGUAGUCAUGCGCAUUAACGAAUUAGUUUAGAAGAGUUUUACUCUGCUAUAAUCUGCCAAGAACAUCAUGGUUUUUGUUACACUGCAAGUGUCUAAAAAGUAUCCAAAGUAGUUAGAGCCUUAGAACAUGUAUUCCCUCUAAUACUUGCUGAUGGCAUUGACCUGAAGGACACUGACUUUAGUGACCUUUCAACAGCAGAUGAUCCUUAUCCUGUUGGAUUAUUUUUCACCUUCUAUUGCCUACAUGCCACAAACCCAUUUGAAAAGUUUUAUGAUCCAGUCUCAUUUCAGUUACAUCAUUGCACACACAUAUUUAUUCAAAACUCUGCACAUACUAAUGGGUCUGUUUUGGGAAUCCUCAGGAACUGUUAAAAAAUUGAACAAAUUAAUCCGAAUACUUCCCUUUAUUGGUAGAGUAUAGGAAGCACAUUCUGUUGGUGUUGUGGUUUGAAUAAAUGGAAAUAUUGCACUUUAGUUUAAUAUCCUGAUGGCUUUCCUAACUAAGCAUCACUGGAUUAUUUUACAAUUUAGUCUACUCAGAGAGAAUGGGAGAGUUUCUAAUCUUCAAGGAGAUUUUUUUUUUCUUUCUUGAAAGGUUAUGAUAACUAGAAUUGGUAGCUCAUAAAAAGCCCAAAUCAAUAUUGCCAUUGACUUAAUCCAUGUAAGAAGCUUAACUUCAUAGGUGACUUCUGAAAAGCUGAAACAAAACAAAAAUCAGUCUCUGGUGAAUUCCCAAGUUUAAAAUAGAGUGGAUAGAUGUUGCAGAAAAAUGCUUCUAGGCUAACAAAGAUAGAAAGGUGAAACCCUGUAAACAAUUGUAUUUCAGCAAAUAAAUUUUCAUGCUUUCUCAUUUUCAAGAAUAGUAAGAUCCAAUAUUACUAUGUUUAGUGCAAUUUUAUUUAACCAUUAAGACAACCCUGUGACAUUUAGACACACUUAAAAUCCCACUUUACAGGUGAUUAAAUUGAGACUUAGGGAGGCAAGUUACCUUUCCCAGUGUAACACAUCUAGUAAGUGGCCCAGUUAAGACUUGAACAUACAUCUGCUGGAUACUAACGGUCAUGUUCUUAAUCAAUAUAUUGUAUAUAUAAAAUCAUUCACGAGAUAUGGCAGUUGAUGUUCAAAUAGGUCAGUAAUAGAAGAUAAUACUACAUACCUACCUUUAGAAAUAUCUAUAUGGCUUUCCUAGACAUAAGGAAACACCAUGAGCUUUCUGCUCUUUAAUGUCAGGAAUCCAAAGACUAAAGCCUAUGCCAUGGCCAUCGGACAUAUUUUUUUCUUUGUCAGAAUAGCUAUCUGGGAUGAAGAUAAAAUUCUUUUUUUUAUCAUUUAUUUAUAUAUAUAUAUUUUUUCUACUGUACAGCAUGGUGACCCAGUUAUACAUACUUGUUUAUGUUCUUUUUUCUCACAUUAAGUGUUCCAUCAUAAGUGACUAGACAUAGUUCCCAGUGCUACACAGAAGGAUCCCAUUGCUAAUCCAUCCCGAAGGCAAUAGUCUGCAUCUGUUAACCCCAAGCUCCCAGUCCCUCCCACUCCCUUCCCUUCCCCCUUGGCAACCACAAGUCUAUUCUCCAAGUCCAUGAUUUUCUUUUCUGCGGAAAGGUUCCAUUGUACUGUAUAUUAGAUUCCAGAUAUAAGUGAUAUCAUAUGAUAUCUGUCUUUUUCUGACUCAGUUCACUCAGGAUGAGAGUCUCUAGUUCCAUCCAUGUUGCUGCAAAUGACAUAAUUUUGUUCUUUUUAUGGCUGAGUAGUAUUCCAUUGUGUUUAUAUACCACAUCUUCCUCAUCCAAUCAUCUGUCAAUAGACAUUUGGGUUUUUUCCAUGUCUUGGCUGUUGUGAAUAGUGCUGCAGUGAACAUGCGGGUGCAUGUGUCUUUUUUAAGGAGAGUUUUGUCCAGAUAUAUGCCCAAGAGUGGGAUUGCUGUGUCACAUGGUAGUUCUAUGUAUAGUUUUCUAAGAUACCUCCAUACUGUUCUCCAUAGUGGUUGUACCAGCUUCCAUUCCCCCCAACAGUGCAGGAGGAUUUCCUUUCUCCACAGCCCCUCCAGCACUUGUUAUUUGUGGACUUAUGAAUGAUGGCCAUUCUGACUGGUGUGAGGUGGUAUCUCAUGGUAGUUUUGAUUUGCAUUUCUCUAAUAAUCAGGGAUGUUGAGCAUUUUUUCAUGUGCCAUCUGUAUAUCUUUCUUGGAGAAAUGUCUCUUCAGGUACUUUACCUAUCUUUCAAUUGGGUUGUUGGCUUUUUUGCUGUUGAGUUGUAUAAGUUGUUUGUAUAUUUUAGAGAUUAAGUCCUUGUCAGUUGCAUCAUUUGAAACUAUGACUUUAUUCUUUCUAACAUUAUGCACUAACUACCUGAAUUAAGUGAGCCAGAUGUAAUUUACUUAUUGAUAACAAGUUUAUUCCAGGCUUUCAGUUUAACAGCCUUUCUUCUUUUUGAAAUUCAUACCAUCUGACUUUUGUGUUCUCCUUCCUUCUACCUCAUUAAAGCAGUCUAUCCAUCUUCAGACUAC
rnacentral:lncRNA from 1 species